CAUGCAAGUCGAACGAUACUCUUUAGCUUGCUAGAGAGGAAAGUGGCGCACGGGUGCGUAACGCGUAUGCAACCUACCUUAAUCAGGGGGAUAGCCCGAAGAAAUUCGGAUUAACACCGCAUAAAAUCACAGUACAGCAUUGUACAAUGAUCAAAUAUUUAUAGGAUUAAGAUGGGCAUGCGUGACAUUAGUUAGUUGGCGGGGUAACGGCCCACCAAGACCACGAUGUCUAGGGGAUCUGAGAGGAUGACCCCCCACACUGGUACUGAGACACGGACCAGACUCCUACGGGAGGCAGCAGUAAGGAAUAUUGGUCAAUGGAGGCAACUCUGAACCAGCCAUGCCGCGUGCAGGAAGACAGCCCUCUGGGUCGUAAACUGCUUUUAUUCGGGAAUAAACCUACUUACGUGUAAGUAGCUGAAUGUACCGAAGGAAUAAGGAUCGGCUAACUCCGUGCCAGCAGCCGCGGUAAUACGGAGGAUCCAAGCGUUAUCCGGAUUUAUUGGGUUUAAAGGGUGCGUAGGCGGCUUUUUAAGUCAGGGGUGAAAGACGGUGGCUCAACCAUCGCAGUGCCCUUGAUACUGAAGAGCUUGAAUGAAUUAGAGGUAGGCGGAAUGUGACAAGUAGCGGUGAAAUGCAUAGAUAUGUCACAGAACACCGAUUGCGAAGGCAGCUUACUAUG
rnacentral:rRNA from 1 species